rnacentral:tRNA from 1 species
GCCAGCCUGGCAUAGUGGUUUGAGUGUUGCACUACAACUCUGGAGACCAAGGUUCAAUUCCCUGUUUGGCC